AUCGUGUUGCCACCGAUCACUCACUCCUAGAGGAGAUGUGCUGGUUUGGGGGCGGAAAUUGGCCUCCCGUGCCUUGUUGUGCGGCUGGCACAAAAGCGAGUCUCUGACAAUGGUCGUCGCGACAUCGGUGGUUGUAAAAAGACCUUAUCUUGUCGCGCGAAUCCCUGUCACCUUAGAGAGCUCUAGGAUCCUUAGGUGCCACCCAUUGUGUGCGCUUUGA
rnacentral:misc_RNA from 1 species